rnacentral:lncRNA from 1 species
GAUUGCAUAACCUGGGCCCCGGGGGCCAGGCCUGUGAAGCUGCCAGGGACAGUGUGUGCAAGGCAGAGCUGCCAAACAGGCCUUUCAGGCAGCAGCUAUGUGCAUGGAGCUGGGAGGUGGAGGGCUCCCAGAAAGGUUGGAAAACUGGGCCUUGGAUGGGAAGUCAAGAAGCUACUCGUGUCACCCAGAUUGUUGCUGUGACUCUGUGUCCUUCCAUCCCAGACAGUCUUAGUCUGCAGUUUGGGCUGGCUAGGGUUAAGUCGGACCAGCAGCAGCCUGGCUGCCAGGUGGUGCCGAGACCAUGGGCAGAGGCCAGAUGUUUGCUGUUCUCAUUCCCAUAGGCCACCCAAGAACCAUAAUUUCCCUUUUUGAGGGUCUUUUGACAUAGAGAUAGGGGCAUGGCAAUGGGGGGGGGGGGGCAACAACGGGUUCAGGUUUUGUAGGGGCCAUAUGGUGACCAGAUGGUGUCUAUACUCUCCUGAGGCCAUCCCCACAAGUUGUGACAUAGCAAAGCCAUACAUUAUACUGCUCACCUGAGGUGCUGCUGCCUAAUGGUUUGCCAUCCCUACUGCCUUUCUUCCCGUCAUGCCACCAGGCACAGGCUGUUUACAUCCUCCCGGACUCCCCUGGUUGCUGUUGCUAUGCAUUGCCUCUGGUCUCCC